GACGAACGCUGGCGGCGUGCUUAACACAUGCAAGUCGAACGGAAAGGCCCUGCUUUUGUGGGGUGCUCGAGUGGCGAACGGGUGAGUAACACGUGAGUAACCUGCCCUUGACUUUGGGAUAACUUCAGGAAACUGGGGCUAAUACCGGAUAGGAGCUCCUGCUGCAUGGUGGGGGUUGGAAAGUUUCGGCGGUUGGGGCUGGACUCGCGGCUUAUCAGCUUGUUGGUGGGGUAGUGGCUUACCAAGGCUUUGACGGGUAGCCGGCCUGAGAGGGUGACCGGCCACAUUGGGACUGAGAUACGGCCCAGACUCCUACGGGAGGCAGCAGUGGGGAAUAUUGCACAAUGGGCGGAAGCCUGAGGCAGCAACGCCGCGUGCGGGAUGACGGCCUUCGGGUUGUAAACCGCUUUCGCCUGUGACGAAGCGUGAGUGACGGUAAUGGGUAAAGAAGCACCGGCUAACUACGUG
rnacentral:rRNA from 1 species